AGAGUUUGAUCCUGGCUCAGGACGAACGCUGGCGGCGUGCUUAACACAUGCAAGUGGAGCGACGAACCAGGCUUCGGUCUGGGGCAAAGCCGCGAACGGGUGAGUAACACGUGGGUAACCCACCCCGGUGACCGGGACAACCCGAGGAAACUCGGGCUAAUACCGGAUGAGCUCAUCUCUCGUGAGGGAGAUGAGGAAAGGUAGCCUCGGCCUCCGCACCGGGACGGGCCCGCGGCCCAUUAGCUUGUUGGUGGGGUAAUGGCCUACCGAGGCUGCGAUCCGUAGCUGGUCUGAGAGGACGACCAGCCACACUGGGACUGAGACACGGCCCAGACUCCUACGGGAGGCAGCAGUAAGGAAUAUUCCACAAUGGGCGCAAGCCUGAUGGAGCGACGCCGCGUGAGCGAAGAAGCCCCUCGGGGUGUAAAGCUCUUUUCAGUGGGAUGACCAAACGACAGUACCACUGGAAUAAGCCUCGGCUAACUACGUGCCAGCAGCCGCGGUAAUACGUAGGAGGCGAGCGUUGUCCGGAUUUACUGGGCGUAAAGCGCGUGUAGGCGGUUCGAUUAGUCUAUCGUGAAAGCUCACGGCUCAACCGUGAGAGGUCGGUGGAAACUGUCGAACUAGAGGACGGUAGAGGGGGGGUGGAAUUCCCGGUGUAGUGGUGAAAUGCGUAGAUAUCGGGAGGAACACCAGCGGCGCAGGCGGCCCCCUGGGCCGCUCCUGAACGCUGAGACGCGAAGGCCAGGGUAGCGAACGGGAUUAGAUACCCCGGUAGUCCUGGCAGUAAACGAUGAGCACUAGGUGUGGGGGGUAUCGAGCCCCUCCGUGCCGUAGUCAACACAAUAAGUGCUCCGCCUGGGGAGUACGGCCGCAAGGUUAAAACUCAAAGGAAUUGACGGGGCCCCGCACAAGCAGCGGAGCGUGUGGUUUAAUUCGAUGCAACGCGCAGAACCUUACCUGGGCUUGACAUGGCACCGCAAAGGCUGGAAACAGUCUCCUCCUUCGGGACGGUGUCACAGAUGUUGCAUGGCUGUCGUCAGCUCGUGUCGUGAGAUGUUGGGUUAAGUCCCGCAACGAGCGCAACCCUCGUGGCUAGUUGCCUUAUCUAGCCAGACCGCCUACUAAAUAGGAGGAAGGUGGGGAUGACGUCAAGUCCGCAUGGCUCUUACGUCCAGGGCUACACACACGCUACAAUGGCCGCUACAGAGCGCAGCAAGCGUGCGAGCGCAAGCGAAUCGCGAAAAGCGGUCACAGUUCGGAUUGCAGGCUGCAACCCGCCUGCAUGAAGUCGGAGUUGCUAGUAACCGCGCGUCAGCAUAGUGCGGUGAAUGCGUUCCCGGGGCUUGUACACACCGCCCGUCACGUCAUGGGAGUUGGCAACACCUGAAGUCCGCGGGCCAACCUGCCGAGAGGUGGGAGGCAGUGGCCGAGGGUGGGGCUGAUGACUGGGACGAAGUCGUAACAAGGUAGCCGU
rnacentral:rRNA from 1 species